rnacentral:rRNA from 1 species
UACAGAGGUCCCAAGCGUUGUUCGGAUUUAUUGGGCGUAAAGGGUGCGUAGGCGGCGCGGUAAGUCGGGUGUGAAAUCUCGGAGCUUAACUCCGAAACUGCAUUCGAUACUGCCGUGCUUGAGGACUGGAGAGGAGACUGGAAUUUACGGUGUAGCGGUGAAAUGCGUAGAUAUCGUAAGGAAGACCAGUGGCGAAGGCGGGUCUCUGGACAGUUCCUGACGCUGAGGCACGAAGGCCAGGGGAGCAAACGGG